AGCCACAAGAAUGGAUGAGGGUGGCGGGGGAAAGGAUGCAGAAUUUGCCAGAGCUAUUGAAGGAAGGGAAAGCAGCUGGAGGCGGUGGAGAGGGGUGACCAAUGCACGCGUUGGGAGCGAGUACUGGCAGUGGUGGUUCGAUGGGAGGAGGAAGUGGAUUAAGAUAAGCCAUCAAGAAGUGACUGGUGGAUUAGGAAAAUACAUUACAGAUAAUCAUGUGUUCGUAGGCUUUGACACUACACCAAUGGUGGCCCCCGCCAUGAGCCCAUUUAUCCACAUAUUGACAUCACUUAGUUUUAUCCCUUAUUCACAUAGAUGUCGUAACAUU
rnacentral:lncRNA from 3 species